rnacentral:lncRNA from 1 species
CAAACCUUGAUUGGGGAGCGCCGCUUUGCUAUUUGAAAGAGCGGGAGGCUACUGAAGCCCUAAUAUGAACUGAUUUCAGGGAGAAAAUCGUAAAGUAAAAUUAUUAUCUAAAACACUGUUCCUCAUAUAUUACUGAUAAGGGGGUGAGGGUGAAAUCAGAUUUCUAAGUGUAACAGUAUUUUUUAGCGGGUUUGAGCGUUUUUUGCGGGUUCCAGGUAUUAAUGAUAAUGCCUAUCAAACAAUGAGAAAAUGUGAGAAA